rnacentral:lncRNA from 1 species
CCUCCCAGUUCCCUCCCAGUUCCCGCGGGGGGGUUGUCUGUAAAUAACCCCCCAAUCACGAAUUUUGCUAUCGAAUAAAAGCGACUAUUUUAGUACGAGUUCCUCCCGUUUUUUGGGGGGCGGUGGGAAAAUUUGGGCCCCCCCCAGGGUAAAACAGCCCCACGAGGGGUCAGAGUAACCCCAAAAAGUGAAAAAAUGACCCCAAAAUGAGAAUAAAUGACCGAAAAAUGGGAAAAAAUGACCGAAAAAUGGGAAAAAAUGACACCAAAAAGGGAAUAAAUGACCUCAAAAAGAGAAUAAACGACCACAAAAAGAGAAUAAAUGACCUCAAAAAGAGAAUAAAUGACCCCAAAAAGGGAAUAAAUGACCCCAAAAAGAGAAUAAAUGACCCCAAAAAGGGAAUAAAUGACUCCAAAAAGGUGAAAAAUUACCCCAAAAAGGGAUAGACCCCAAAAAGAGAAUAAAUGACCCCAAAAAAGGAUAAAUUACCCCAAAAUGAGAAUAAAUGAAAGAAUAAUCCCCAAAAAGGAUAAAACAUUGCCAAGAAAGGAUAAAAUCCCAAAAAUGGAUAAAAUCCCUGAAAAAAGGAUAAAAUAAUCCCAAAAAGGGAUAAAAUAAUCCCCAAAAAAUGAGAAAAUAACCCAAAAAAUGAGAAAAUAACCCAAAAAAUCACCAAACUCACCUCGAGUCUCCACAGAUUUUAUUCCAAAUUUUUUUUUUUUUGGGGGGGGGGCACCGUGAUCCCACAAUUGAUGGGGGGGGGUCCCCAAAAAAUUUGGGGGAGGGGUCCCGAAAAAACUCGGAGGGAAAAAAUUCCAAGAAUUCCCCACCCCCCCCUCCCCCAAAAAAAGCAGCUGUGGGAAAUUUGGGGGGGGUGGAACCCCCAAAUUGGGAUCCCAACCCCCCUCAAAAAAAUUUGGGGAACCCCCCCUCCCCAAAAAAAUUUGGGGACCCCCCAAAAAAAUUUGGGGGGGUUCCCAAAAUUUGGGGUGGGGGGGGGUCCCCAAAAUUUUGGGGUGGGGGGGCUACGCCAGCCCCAUUUCCUCCAGGACGCUCCGGGGGGAUUCGUCCUCCUGUGGGGGGAAAGAAGGGGUUAAAUUUUGGGGGGGGG